GAUGAACGCUAGCGGCGGGCCUAAUACAUGCAAGUCGAACGGUGCAGCAAUGCAUAGUGGCAGACGGGUGCGUAACGCGUAUGCAACCUACCUUUUAUCGGGGGACAACAUUUCGAAAGAAGUGCUAAUACCGCGUAAGAUAGUAGUGGGACAUCCCACAGCUAUUAAACUUUCGGGGAUAGAAGAUGGGCAUGCGUCUGAUUAGCUAGUUGGCGGGGUAACGGCCCACCAAGGCGACGAUCAGUAGGGGAACUGAGAGGUUGAUCCCCCACACUGGCACUGAGAUACGGGCCAGACUCCUACGGGAGGCAGCAGUAGGGAAUAUUGGGCAAUGGACGGAAGUCUGACCCAGCCACGCCGCGUGCAGGAGGAAGGCGCUCUGCGUUGUAAACUGCUUUAGCAGGGGAAGAAAAGACUCAUGCGUGAGGAAUUGACGGUACCCUGAGAAUAAGCACCGGCUAACUACGUGCCAGCAGCCG
rnacentral:rRNA from 1 species